rnacentral:rRNA from 1 species
ACUCCUACGGGAGGCAGCAGUGGGGAAUCUUGGACAAUGGGCGCAAGCCUGAUCCAGCCAUGCCGCGUGAGUGAUGAAGGCCUUAGGGUCGUAAAGCUCUUUCGCCAGGGAUGAUAAUGACAGUACCUGGUAAAGAAACCCGCGUACAUCCGUGCCAGCAGCCGCGGUAAUACGGAGGGGGUUAGCGUUGUUCGGAAUUACUGGGCGUAAAGCGCACGUAGGCGGAUUGGAAAGUU